AUUGAACGCUAGCGGCAGGCUUAAUACAUGCAAGUCGAGGGGUAGCAAGAUUGUAGCAAUACAAUUGUUGACGACCGGCAAACGGGUGCGGAACACGUACACAACCUUCCUACAAGUGGGGAAUAGCCCAGAGAAAUUUGGAUUAAUACCCCGUAACAUAGCGAUGUGGCAUCACAUUGCUAUUAUAGCUUCGGCGCUUGUUGAUGGGUGUGCGGCUGAUUAGAUAGUUGGCGGGGUAACGGCCCACCAAGUCUACGAUCAGUAGCUGAUGUGAGAGCAGGAUCAGCCACACGGGCACUGAGACACGGGCCCGACUCCUACGGGAGGCAGCAGUAAGGAAUAUUGGACAAUGGACGCAAGUCUGAUCCAGCCAUGCCGCGUGAAGGAUUAAGGUCCUCUGGAUUGUAAACUUCUUUUAUAAGGGACGAAAAAAGGUCUUUCUAGAUCGUCUGACGGUACCUUAUGAAUAAGCACCGGCUAACUCCGUGCCAGCCGCCGCCUAAUAC
rnacentral:rRNA from 1 species